rnacentral:rRNA from 1 species
CUGGUUGAUCCUGCCAGUAGUCAUAUGCUUGUCUCAAAGACUAAGCCAUGCAUGUCUAAGUAUAAAUGUUAUACAGUGAAACUGCGAAUGGCUCAUUAAAACAGUUAUAGUUUAUUUGAUAAUCGAAUUUACAUGGAUAACCGUGGUAAUUCUAGAGCUAAUACAUGCUGGUUAGCCUGACUUCGAGGAAGGGCUGUAUUUAUUAGAUAACAAACCAAUAUUCUUCGUGUCUAUUGUGAUGACUCAUAAUAACUGAUCGAAUCGCAUGGUCCUUGACCGCGAUAAAUCAUUCAAGUUUCUGCCCCAUCAGCUUUCGAUGGUAGUGUAUUGGACUACCAUGGCUUUAACGGGUAACGGAGGAUUAGGGUUCGAUUCCGGAGAGGGAGCCUGAGAAACGGCUACCACAUCUAAGGAAGGCAGCAGGCGCGUAAAUUACCCAAUCCUGACUCAGGGAGGUAGUGACAAGAAAUAACGGACCGAGGCUUUGCUUCGGGAUUGCAAUGAGUAGAAUUUAAACCCCU